rnacentral:tRNA from 1 species
GGACGUGUAGCUCAGCGGAAGAGCUCCGGCUCGACAAGCCGGCGGUCGUUGGUUCGACCCCAACCGCGUCCA